rnacentral:lncRNA from 1 species
CUCCUGUGUGAAGCUGGGAACUCCUGGGUUGCUGUUGUUAGUGUGAAGUCGGUGAACUGAAGAACUGCCUGGUGGACCUAAAGAAUUCAGAAGGAUCCUGUUGUGGCAUCUCACUUGCUGGCAAGUCGGACGUCCCACAAAAUGGUGCCGAAACCCGGGAAGUAACAUCUUCAGGCACGAGCGAAGACCCCCUGUUACAGGAAGGACUCAGAACUGCAUCACGGGGAUUGAGCGGUUAAUGAAGUGUUCCCAUAAAGCAGUCUGUUGAGAAGUAUUCAACUGCGUGGAUUCAGAACUCUUCAGCUGGGGAACAGGGGUACCAGUAAGUAAUAAGAAAUUAAUGUAAGUCUCUGAGAGGUAUGCUUUCCUACGCAGUAGGUCCAGUAAUUGUCGCUGGGGUUGUGUUGCUUGCUUCCUUUCUUGCCUUGAUAUUAUGCUAUUGCCUUAAUUUUCAUCGCCCUGGACACGAGUGUAUCUGCUGGGAGUAGCUCGGCAGACACAUAAGAUCAUAAAGUGAGUGUAGAUAAACUCGUGGAUUGACCUUGGGGCUAAGAACCUCACGUAGAUAAGUGAGUACUUCAAGGAUGCUUUAGUCCAGGACGAGGAUGGGUACCAGCCAGUCUACACCGUUGGUGGGGC